CAGCCGCCGCGGUAAUACGUAGGGUGCAAGCGUUAAUCGGAAUUACUGGGCGUAAAGCGUGCGCAGGCGGUUCGGAAAGAAAGAUGUGAAAUCCCAGAGCUUAACUUUGGAACUGCAUUUUUAACUACCGGGCUAGAGUGUGUCAGAGGGAGGUGGAAUUCCGCGUGUAGCAGUGAAAUGCGUAGAUAUGCGGAGGAACACCGAUGGCGAAGGCAGCCUCCUGGGAUAACACUGACGCUCAUGCACGAAAGCGUGGGGAGCAAACAGGAUUAGAUACCCUGGUAGUCCACGCCCUAAACGAUGUCAACUAGCUGUUGGGGCCUUCGGGCCUUGGUAGCGCAGCUAACGCGUGAAGUUGACCGCCUGGGGAGUACGGUCGCAAGAUUAAAACUUAAAGGAAUUGGCGGG
rnacentral:rRNA from 1 species